AGCGAACGCUGGCGGCGUACUUAACACAUGCAAGUCGAACGAGGAUCAUCGGGUUAGCAAUAAUUCGGUGGUCCUAGUGGCGCACGGGUGAGUAACACGUGGGUGACCUGCCCUUGAGCUCGGGAUACCCCCUCGAAAGGGGGGCGUAAUACCGGAUACGUUCCUCGGUCGAAAGACUGAGGAGGAAAGGUGGCGCAAGCUGCCGCUCUUGGAGGGGCUCGCGGCCUAUCAGCUAGUUGGCGGGGUAACGGGCCCACCAAGGCUAUGACGGGUAGCUGGUCUGAGAGGACGACCAGCCACACGGGGACUGAGACACGGCCCCGACUCCUACGGGAGGCAGCAGUGGGGAAUUUUCCGCAAUGGGCGAAAGCCUGACGGAGUGACGCCGCGUGUGGGACGAAGGCCUUCGGGUCGUAACC
rnacentral:rRNA from 1 species